GACGAACGCUGGCGGCAGAACUAACACAUGCAAGUCGAACGAGUGGCGGACGGGUGAGUAAUGUCUGGGAAACUGCCCGAUGGAGGGGGAUAACUACUGGAAACGGUAGCUAAUACCGCAUACCAUCGGAUGUGCCCAGAUGGGAUUAGCUAGUAGGUGGGGUAACGGCGCACCUAGGCGACGAUCCCUAGCUGGGCUGAGUGGAUGACCAGCCACACUGGAACUGUGCCACGGUCCAGACUCUGACGGGAGGCAGCAGUGGGGAAUAUUGCACAAGGGGCGCAAGCCUGAUGCAGCCAUGCCGCGUGUAUGAAGAAGGCCUUCUGGGUGUAAAGUACUUUCAGCGAGGAGGCGUUACUCGCAGUAGAAGCACCGGCUAACUCCGUGCCAGAAGCCGCGGUAAUAC
rnacentral:rRNA from 1 species